AGUGAACGCUGGCGGUAGGCCUAACACAUGCAAGUCGAACGGCAGCACAGUAAGAGCUUGCUCUUACGGGUGGCGAGUGGCGGACGGGUGAGGAAUACAUCGGAAUCUACUUUUUCGUGGGGGAUAGCGUAGGGAAACUUACGCUAAUACCGCAUACGACCUACGGGUGAAAGCAGGGGAUCUUCGGACCUUGCGCGAUUGAAUGAGCCGAUGUCGGAUUAGCUAGUUGGCGGGGUAAAGUCCCACCAAGGCGACGAUCCGUAGCUGGUCUGAGAGGAUGACAAGCCACACUGGAACUGAGACACGGUCCAGACUCCUACGGGAGGCCGCAGUGGGGAAUGUUGGACAAUGGGCGCAAGCCUGAUCCAGCCAUACCGCGUGAGUGAAGAAGGCCUUCGGAUUGUACAGCCCUUUUGUUGGGAAAGAAAAGCAGCAGGUUAAUACCCCGCGGUUCUGACGGUACCCAAAGAAUAAGCACCGGCUAACUUCGUG
rnacentral:rRNA from 1 species